GCAGCAGUGCAGGCUGAUCACAUCAGGGGGAGAAGGAGAAAAGCUGCAUUUUGUCCAGGUCUCCUCUGACACCUGAGGAAUCCGGAGCAUUCUGAUGGACAUGGCAAUACAGACCUUCCUCCUCAUCCCCUUCUCCUCAUUUCCAACAGAUCUUAUCCUUGGGAGGCCCCAGACUGCUGAAGUCUCAGCCAGCCCUUCAGGAUAACUCAAUCUCUCCACCCUAAGGUGACAAGGCAGAGGACUUGGCUGGAGCUCAGACAUUUCUCUGUGCCACUCAGAAGGAUGUGGAGGAAACAGCAGAGUUACACCCAUGGGUGCUGUUCCUGUGUCCCUGGGCUUGCAGUGGGGUCAGCAGGAGGUGUGAAGUGUGGACAUCAAAGCAUCCUGCCCUGCUCACACAGGUCAGUGAUUAACCCAGACAGAGCCCACAGCUCCUGCCACCAGCUGGGAUCCCAGGAACUGAGACAAGCAGGAGACCAGCACUGCCCUGGGGGCAACAACAUGAAAAUGGGAAACGUGCCUGGGAUGGAGAACAUUGCUUUCUCAUGGAUUUGUGAAAGAACGACUGACAGAAGAUACCAUCGUUGCAAAAGGAACUAUUAACUUAGACACAGAUGGAUAGUUCUUAAUGAGUUGGCAGUACAGUCCCUCAGUGUGAGCUGCUGGGAUCAGCGUGGUGGAAAACUGUUCAGGUUGCUGCAUCUGUAAAAAUGCUUUGUUCCUGGAUUCCUCCUGGGACCUGGCACUUACCUUCUGCACACACAGACACCAGUACUGCUGACAUUGGUGAGGAUAAAUUUCUGUGUUAAAAAUAUUCAUCUGGGAGCCUGGCAGUAAAAUAAGAGACAGUCAGAGUCAGGUCACCACUUUAAAUCACACUCCAACAUCUCUGAAUUGCUUUUCUUACAACUGAAUUUUUAUGCCAAUGUUGAACAUAAGCAAAAUAUUAAUUUUUCUUUCCGAUUUGUACCUGCCC